UUUAUGUAUUCAGAGCAGUAAAUUGCGUUGAUUGUCUAUUGAUAAAAUUUAAAUUUGCCUCAGGGACCUCUGAGUUGGCCUUCUGUAUUAUGAGGGAGGAGCUUUAGGUCAGCAGUCCAUCAGUCUGUCAGAAGAUUGCAGCAUUAAUGAGGCGUCUACAACAGUUCAGGCAUAGCAGGGGAGAGGAAGAGUGUGUGACACAGCAAGUUGAAAAAGCAAGCAGCAGCAAGAAAGAGGUGCCAUGGUUGAUAGUAACGCGACAGCAGCAUGCUGGAUGGAUGACUGGCUGGGGCCUUGCACUUGUAUGUGUGUCCUGCUUGACACACACACACACACACUUCACACUACAGCAGCAUGUCCUGCAGCUGCUGGGGCACGCUGAAUGCAAGCUCAUGUCUCCCAUUCGGGCAUCCCAAAGAUGUGAAUGAAGCAGACAGUGAUCUGUGUCCUUGAAUGUUACCCCCUCUUCUUCUUGCCUGUCUUCCAUCGCUGCGUCCCCUCUCACGUCCUUGUGUACUGCCUAAUUUCACACCCUUCAGUCUUGUUUCUGCAUUUUCCUCAUUUCCCUAUUUUCAGUUUGGCUGUUUUUCCCUCCCUCUUGUUGGACCUGUAAUGCUGUGACCUUUAUCCCGAGAAAGAGGUAAAUGAUAUGACGCUUUUCAUUGAGAUUAAACCCUUUCUCUGUUUUCAUAAAGCCAGCCAUCAGUUUUAUCUAUCCAACUGUUUUAUUCUCCUGCCUAAUCAGCUCUGUUGAAUUAAAAAAAAUCUAUUUUUUAUUUUAUUUUUAAUAUUAUGCAGCAUUGUUCACACACCUAUAUACUACCACCCCUGCAGUCUGUCAAAAUGGUACAGGCUAUGCAUUGAGACAGCCCCAGCUGAGGCAGUAGCAGUGAGUGUGCAGCUUAGCAAGUCUCCACAUUCACACACUCACACACACACACACACACCUACAUCCACAUACACACACAUAGGGCACACGACCGUGGUGCUUAGUCUGCUGCUGCAUGCGCCAGCAUCACAGAAUCUUGAGGUUGGAGGAUUUCCACGCUGUAAGCUUCCUGUCACGUAAGUAUGUACGCCGUGACAAUGCAUGGAUGACUCAUCUGUUCGUCUGUCUUUAAUGCACUCUUUUAUUUUGGUCUGUUUUUUCAGUACAUUCACUCAUUCACCUGCGCGCAUGAAGGGUCCGCGAUAUUCGUCCAUGAAUCUUUGUGCGCUUUCAUGUUUUCACACCUUCAAUUCAAUUGCUGUUUUGUGAAUAUGUAAGUGAACUGUCGGAGACUUGUAAAGGUGGUCUGAGAUAUAUGUACAGUAAGAGGUGGAUGGGCUGGAUAUGUAUUCAGAUUCUUCUUUCCUGAUCUCCUUUUUUGGAGAAAUUAAGAGUUUCUAGAAUGAACGCCUCUUUUCUGGUGACGGCACAUUUUAUGUAAACAAGGAAACCUGGUGACAGGUUCUGCCACAUCAGUGGGCUUAGCUUCCAUUAGGGACCAUAUAUAUACAGUAUAUAUGUAUAUACUGGCUGGGAAUCUGUCCUCACUGCAUUUGCUCUUAUCUUGUGGAAUUUAAUUACCUUUCUAUAAUGUCUGAUUUUAUGGAUGGCUGGUGGUGGCUAGUGAGUUUUGUGUCAGUUUGAUUUUUAAUGAAACCAAGUGAUUGGUUAGUAGUUUAUCUGGUUUACUGUCACCUCAUUUGACAGCCAACCAGUUAGUCAGCGAGGUGACUGGGACAGACUGCAUAUACGGAGACAUCCCAGUCAAACUAGUCAGUCAGUCUUUAACAAGAAAUCAGUGCUGUCAGUCAUUUUGCUUCACUUUAAGUCUCGUUAAUCCUAAAUUAUUCAGUCAUUAGACACACUGGUAGCUCCACCACUGUGUGAGGUUCGCAUGGCAGGGUCAUCUCAGCCGUAACCUUCAAUGCAGCAAGAUGGGUUUGGGGUAGACGGAUGGUUCAGAAACGAUAAAUCAGCCCGGCUUCUUUUUGAUUUCCACCAGUCUUUAGAUUUCACCCAGAAAUGAAGAUCUGAAGCCGAUCUCAGCUUUUGGGUUCAGGGGGUUACCCUCUGUGGACCUUACACAUUCAUAUCUGACCUAUAUUCACGUCUACAGUUUAGAGUAACCAAUUAACUGAACAUGCAUAUUUUUGGGUCAGGGGAAGAUGGGAUUUCCAGAAAACCCACCCUUGGCAUUGGGAAAAUACAGGACAUUCCUCUGGAAUCAAAAGAGCUGCCAAGAAUACUCUACUAUCGGAUGAAAUGCAGUUACAGCUUUAAUUAUUAUAACACAGUAGCUUCAUAAUAAGAAAGUCUGGGGUUGGAUUCCGGCUAGGCAUGGAGUUUGCAUGUUCGCCCUGUGCCAAGCACCUGAUCCUACUCCUCCAGUUUCCCUCACGGUCAUGAAACUUUGAUUUAUUUUGAUAGGAGGCAGACCACACAUGGCAAUAUUACAUCUUGCCUUGUCCCAUCGGUGCACAGUGCACAGUUGUCUCUUUUCUUUCCUCCUUUGAGGUUUUCUCGUUAAGACCCAUUUUACAGUCCACCACC
rnacentral:lncRNA from 1 species